CCACUACGUCACGCGCAGCCGCAGCGACGUCGGGCGUCAACCGUCCGUUUCCCCGGCGGUCACUCCCAUGUCAUGGUAGCGUCUGUCAGUUAUGUGUCAGGUGGCUGCAUGAGGGUUAUCCUCGUGUCACCUAAGCAGGUGGCAGGAACAAAUACUGAAGGUUGCCAGAAUGAAAGCUACAUCUCAAGCCGAAGGGCCUGUUUCCACACUGUAAGUUCCUUAUCCCUGAAUAGCAACACUUGAUUCACCAGACACCAACGAGACAAAAGAGGGUGGAAAAGAAAUGGAGAUACUGAGUGAGAGAGAGAGUUGGGAAGAAGAGUUGGCUGACUGAGUGAUUGAAUGAUGGUUGGGAAAAGGGAGUACUAAGUGAAUGAGGGUUGGGAAGAGGAGUUUUUCUUUUUCAAUUCAUGGGACAUUAGCAAUUGCUCAUCCUUAGUUGCCCUUGAGAAGGUCGUAUUGAAUUGACUUCUUCAAUGGCUGCAGUUCUUUUGGUGUAAGUAGACACACAAAGCUGUUUGGGAGGGAGAUCCCCGAUUUUUGCCCACCCACAGUGAAGUUGGCAUGCUGUCUGUAUUGAAAACAUAGCUUUUGGGAUUAUCUAAUUUAAUUCCUGAAAUUAAUAUUACUGAACAAAAGUUCAUGGACGAUAUUGUAUCUGAAAAAAAAUCAUGUCUUGAAAGACAGACAUUUUAUUCUAAAUCCCUCCCAAGAGGAAAUAUCUUUCCAAACUUCUAACCAGACCCCUAAAGAUCUUAUAUUUCAAUUAGAUCACGUCUCAUUUUUCUACAGUAUUUUCUAUUCAACCUGUUCGGAUAUGUUACAACACGACUCUGGGGCAGGUGAGACUUGAACCUGGACCUCCUGGUUUAAUGGUAGGAUCACUACCACUGUGCCAAAAGAGCUCCCUCAGUUUUCUAAACUUUAAUGAUAUUAAUAUAAUGAACAAUCAAUCUACCUUUCUUCAUUAAAUAAGCCGAUCAUCCUAAGAAUAAGUCAUAGAGUAUAUUUAGGCAUCAGUUGGCCUUUUCAAAUCUUAACCAUCUCAAACAACUUAUUAAAAGCAGACAUAACAAAGGGAGGAAAAUUAUUUAUUGUAAACAAACAAGCAGUGCUACAAUUUGUACCUCAACCUCACAUACAGGGGAUACAGUUAAAUCCUCUUUACCAUAUAUUAAAGUGAUAGGUAUGCAUGCCAAAACAAAAUUUUUAUACUGUCACAUUUUCACAAUGGAAACACUUUGUAUAUGUUUAAAACAAAAACCAUUAAGAUUUUUACAUAAAGUAAUCACAAUUUUGAAGUGUUGUCAUGUGAGUCAUCACUAAUGUUUUUUAUAGGAAAGCUUACUUUGAAACAAACCAUGAAACAGAAAUGAUUCCAUGUACAGUAGCUGCACCAUAUAUACUUUAUAUGUUGUAAACAGUGUUGACUUUAAAUCAACCAAGUAUGGAGAGAUGAGUUCAAGUACAGUAAAAUUAGUUCCACUGAUAUUUUUGUGUAGUUCACGGCUUAAAAUGCACAUGUUAAUGUCCGCAUAGGAGUUGCCAAAAAAGGGAAUCUUAGUUUUUUAAAAUAUUAAUGAAAAAUAUGGUGGACUGAUUUAAAAUAUACAGUCACACUUUCUCUACAUAUUUUUCACUUGAACUGUCAUGUUUUACCAUUUAAAAAUUAUUUUUGUAUAUGCUAAUUAGAAUCACUUAAAAAUGAAAUGCAAGUGUUCAAGUGUUUGUUGCAAUGCAAUAGUGCUUCUGGAUUCCAUAAAGAGAGAACUCAAAAUAGUAUUCAGAAUUGAUCAGUAAGUGAGUGAUGGUUCUUCACAGCUAAUGCUUUGUGUUUAAUUUUGCCCAACCUGAUGGUUAACUUUAUGAUUGAUGUUAUUGAUUCCAAUAAAGACUUGAAAUUUGGUCUUCUGAAUGAGGUAAAGACCUUGCUGAGAGAAUGAUAAAAUGUCCAGUUAAUGCUGUUAGAAAAUAAACAUUGCUUGUCUUACAGGCCAUUAGUGCAAGUUUCAUUUAGCAUUCUAUUAAUAUGAGAUGUUUUCUGUGAAUUUUAGAUAUAAUUUUAAGAUGUAAUUUGCAGAUUAUAAAUACCAUUCAUGGCCUUUAACUCAGUGGAACAGGGUAGUCAAAAUUACCACGAAAUUAACAGAGAAGAUUGAAUACCACCACCUCAGCAAUUCCUUGAACAUUAUUAUUAAUAUUUUUUAAGUGGAAUUUAAAAGGACAAGUAAUGAUCCUUACCAAAAAUGCAAUUUUAAAAAAUAUAAAAUAUUCAAUUUGAAAUGAAUUCCACUAAAAAGAAGUCCAUUAAUUUAAAUAAGCAUAUUAUCCUCAUUGAGUUAGGAUAUUGCUGUUUAAAGUUAACCUAAAUGGCCAGAGAACUAUUUUCCUUCACAGCUAAUCCAAAUCCUGUUCUUACUCAUUAUGUAUGUAUAUUUCCAAAACAUGUCAAUAACAGGAACUUUGGCUGACUUUCUUCUAGUUAAUCCUGGAAUCUUGGGCUUAACUGUAACAUUUCAGCAACUAUAAACUAACUCAAUACUGUUAUUUGAAUACAGUUCAAGCUAAACAAUGAUCUGAUUUGUAGUUAUCUUUGCCUGUGAGUGUCACCAUAAAUUAGCUGUUGUUAGCUCCAUUUUGUUUUGGUUGCUGCAAAGGUUUGUUAAUGGGAGGAAGGAAAACCUCAAUCGAUGCUGUUCAAGACAGAAAUGUCUGUAUGUACCUUUUACUAACUAAUGUAAUCAUAUUCCAGAAAAACAAUAAUUUUGUGAUUGUUCUAAAUGGUUAAUUUUUUCCUUGCUAAUUGUCUCCCUGUCUUAUAUUUAUUAAUAGUUCCUUUCUGAGGUAUGAUUCCAUAGUACCUUGUCAAAGUGAGGCUCAGCAAUGAAUACUGGCAGGCUAAAGUUGCCAUGCAUAGAGGCAAAGUAAUCCUUCAGUGGUGCAAAUAGGUGGCGAAUGACAGGCACACUCCAUGACCUUCCAAGAAGUUUUUGUCGGGCUCCUCGUCCCAUGUUGGACACAUCUGUGUAAUGUACUGGGAAGCCAAAGAUCCUGCAAGUCAAGAGUCAAACAGCAUUAAAAGUUUCUGUUGAAAACAUGGAAAAAAUACUUGUUUUACUGAAAUAAAUGUGGAAUUAGAAAGA